rnacentral:lncRNA from 1 species
UGCACGUGCAUCUGAGAAAGUGCAUGCAUCAUGGCUUAUGAUAUACGGUGGAAUUUACAUGAUUGCCCAUGUCCAACUUGGAAAUUUUGAUCUGAUGGGCUUAGAUGAAUCUGCAUUUGAGACCCCAACCCGCAUAGCACUCCUCCAUCGUCCGAUUUGAAUGCCUUUGUUCCCACCAUCUCUCAAUAUAUUACAAUCCUUGAGAACCGUUGAUGCUGUCGACGAAGAGGAAGUCGUCGAAUCUACGCCCUCUGAGUAGUCGGUGGAGUCUGCACACGAGUGAUCACGUGAUUCCCUGCC